rfam:Oryza glaberrima chromosome 9 Oglab09_0079_20, whole genome shotgun sequence.
UCUAAGUGUUGUUGUGGGUUUCAGUGUCUAACGUUUGACCAUCCAUAUUAUUUAAAAAUUUCUUAUGAUUAGUAUUUUCAUUGUUAUUAAAUGAUAAACAUAAAUAGUACCUUAUGCGUAACUUAUUUUUUAAAUUUUUUCAUAAAAUUUUUCAAAUAAGAUGGACGGUCAAAUGUCGAGUACUGGAACCCACAACUGUACUUCAA